ensembl:lncRNA
GCUUGGAGCUGUUCUAUUAUGACAUAUUAAGGAAGAUUAUAGCAGAGGGAGUCGUUUUUAAAAUAGAAGAAGUUUAACCAAAUUUAUAUCUCAAAAUUAAGAAGCACCAGGACUCAGAGAGUCGUGAACUUCGCACAUUAUGGAAAAGCUGUGAUUUCUAAAUGUGGCUCUCAGAAAUACCAUGAUCAUCCAGCCAAUGCCAUACGUCUGUGUGAGUCAAACUAUUCUGAUUCCAGCUGUGACUCUGCUGCUCCUUAGAGAAACCAUGCCUACUCUGCCUUUGGCAGUUGAAUGCCACCACUUGGCCUCUGUGACCCGAGAAAGCAAUUACUUCUUUUGCAUUUAGGUUUCCCAAUUGAAUAUCUGCGGUUCCCACUAUAUUUAGUCUGGCUUACAGAGAACAAGUACAGAGCUAUUCAAAGAUGCCAGGGCUCUCUCAUGAGUUUAUUCCUUACAGUACUGUUGAAAAAUAUGUCUUUUGGACUCUCCCUGUGGGCUUCCUCAGUGGCUCAGCAAUAAAGAAUAUGCCUGC